CCUACGGGGGGCAGCAGUGAGGAAUAUUGGUCAAUGGCCGAGAGGCUGAACCAGCCAAGUCGCGUGAGGGAUGACGGCCCUACGGGUUGUAAACCUCUUUUGUCGGGGAGCAAGACCCGCCUCGUGCAGGCGGAGCGAGAGUACCCGAAGAAAAAGCAUCGGCUAACUCCGUGCCAGCAGCCGCGGUAAUACGGAGGAUGCGAGCGUUAUCCGGAUUUAUUGGGUGUAAAGGGUGCGUAGACGGGAAAUUAAGUUAGUUGUGAAAUCCCUUGGCUUAACUGAGGAACUGCAACUAAAACUGAUUU
rnacentral:rRNA from 1 species